AAUCGCCUCUAUAUACAUGCAAAGUUACAUAACAUAUACAAGAAGAAUGGGUUUAAAAAUGUCAAGCAAUACUUUUCUCCUAUCUUUGUUCCUUUUACUUCUUUGUUUCUUUUCGGAAACUGGAGGGAGAGAGACCAGUCACUGGAGAUUAGGUCAGUGCCUCUUGUAUAUGUUCUAUUCUCUUGUUUUAUAUUUCACUAAAGGCUAUAGCUCAAGCUUUACUGAAUUCAUUUUCACAUGUAAAGAAGUUGAUCCCUUCAAGUCGUACGUGGACC